CCUACGGGAGGCAGCAGUGAGGAAUAUUUGUCAAUGGCCGAGAGCCUGAACCAGCCAAGUCGCGUGAGGGAAGACGGCCCUACGGGUUGUAAACCUCUUUUAUCAGGGAGCAAAGGGCGGAUCGGGUCCUACUUUGAGAGUACCUGAAGAAAAAGCAUCGGCUAACUCCGUGCCAGCAGCCGCGGUAAUACGGAGGAUGCGAGCGUUAUCCGGAUUUAUUGGGUUUAAAGGGAGCGUAGAUGGUUUGUUAAGUCAGUGGUGAAAGUUUGCGGCUCAACCGUAAAAUUGCAAUUGAUACUGGUAGACUUGAGUACAGUUGAGGUAGGCGGAAUUCGUGGUGUAGCGGUGAAAUGCUUAGAUAUCACGAAGAACUCCGAUUGCGAAGGCAGCUUACUAAACUGUAACUGACAUUGAGGCUCGAAAGUGUGGGGAUCAAACAGGAUUAGAUACCCGAGUAGUC
rnacentral:rRNA from 1 species